rnacentral:rRNA from 1 species
AGCGGCGGACGGGUGAGUAAUGCUUAGGAAUCUGCCUAUUAGUGGGGGACAACAUCUCGAAAGGGAUGCUAAUACCGCAUACGCCCUACGGGGGAAAGCAGGGGAUCUUCGGACCUUGCGCUAAUAGAUGAGCCUAAGUCGGAUUAGCUAGUUGGUGGGGUAAAGGCCUACCAAGGCGACGAUCUGUAGCGGGUCUGAGAGGAUGAUCCGCCACACUGGGACUGAGACACGGCCCAGACUCCUACGGGAGGCAGCAGUGGGGAAUAUUGGACAAUGGGGGGAACCCUGAUCCAGCCAUGCCGCGUGUGUGAAGAAGGCCUUUUGGUUGUAAAGCACUUUAAGCGAGGAGGAGGCUACUCUAGUUAAUACCUAGGGAUAGUGGACGUUACUCGCAGAAUAAGCACCGGCUAACUCUGUGCCAGCAGCCGCGGUAAUACAGAGGGUGCGAGCGUUAAUCGGAUUUACUGGGCGUAAAGCGUGCGUAGGCGGCUUUUUAAGUCGGAUGUGAAAUCCCUGAGCUUAACUUAGGAAUUGCAUUCGAUACUGGGAAGCUAGAGUAUGGGAGAGGAUGGUAGAAUUCCAGGUGUAGCGGUGAAAUGCGUAGAGAUCUGGAGGAAUACCGAUGGCGAAGGCAGCCAUCUGGCCUAAUACUGACGCUGAGGUACGAAAGCAUGGGGAGCAAACAGGAUUAGAUACCCUGGUAGUCCAUGCCGUAAACGAUGUCUACUAGCCGUUGGGGCCUUUGAGGCUUUAGUGGCGCAGCUAACGCGAUAAGUAGACCGCCUGGGGAGUACGGUCGCAAGACUAAAACUCAAAUGAAUUGACGGGGGCCCGCACAAGCGGUGGAGCAUGUGGUUUAAUUCGAUGCAACGCGAAGAACCUUACCUGGUCUUGACAUAGUAAGAACUUUCCAGAGAUGGAUUGGUGCCUUCGGGAACUUACAUACAGGUGCUGCAUGGCUGUCGUCAGCUCGUGUCGUGAGAUGUUGGGUUAAGUCCCGCAACGAGCGCAACCCUUUUCCUUAUUUGCCAGCGGGUUAAGCCGGGAACUUUAAGGAUACUGCCAGUGACAAACUGGAGGAAGGCGGGGACGACGUCAAGUCAUCAUGGCCCUUACGACCAGGGCUACACACGUGCUACAAUGGUCGGUACAAAGGGUUGCUACCUAGCGAUAGGAUGCUAAUCUCAAAAAGCCGAUCGUAGUCCGGAUUGGAGUCUGCAACUCGACUCCAUGAAG